CCUACGGGUGGCAGCAGUGGGGAAUAUUGGACAAUGGGCGAAAGCCUGAUCCAGCCAUGCCGCGUGUGUGAAGAAGGCCUUCGGGUUGUAAAGCACUUUCAGUGGGGAAGAAAGCCUUGGGGCUAAUACCCUCGAGGAAGGACAUCACCCACAGAAGAAGCACCGGCUAACUCCGUGCCAGCAGCCGCGGUAAUACGGAGGGUGCGAGCGUUAAUCGGAAUUACUGGGCGUAAAGCGCGCGUAGGCGGUCUGAUAAGCCGGUUGUGAAAGCCCCGGGCUCAACCUGGGAACGGCAUCCGGAACUGUCAGGCUAGAGUGCAGGAGAGGAAGGUAGAAUUCCCGGUGUAGCGGUGAAAUGCGUAGAGAUCGGGAGGAAUACCAGUGGCGAAGGCGGCCUUCUGGACUGACACUGACGCUGAGGUGCGAAAGCGUGGGUAGCUAACAGGAUUAGAUACCCGUGUAGUC
rnacentral:rRNA from 1 species